GCCUUGGACUCGCUGCCCUGCCAGCCCCACCCCAUCUCCAUCCCCACUUAGAGCCUGGGGGCCUAGGGACAGAGUGAGCAGGUCCAGCUCCCUAUGCAGAGGCCCCAGCUCACAGCCGCCUCUUGUAGCCGUGCCCACAGAGGCUCGUGCCAGCACACACGUGCACACAUGUGCUCCCCGCAGGACCAGGCACCUGCAGCUGUCUUCCAUCCGGGGGCCCCCUUGGGGCUUGUAGUGGUGCUGCUGGCAGGGAGGGCCAUUCCUUCUGUUUCCACCCCAUUUCCCCACCUCCCCUGGGUCCCCUGGGGUCUCCCAGGGCCACCCUUGUCCUGUGGAUGAAGA
rnacentral:lncRNA from 1 species